rnacentral:rRNA from 1 species
GACGAAGGAUGCAAGCGUUAUCCGGAUUCAUUGGGUUUAAAGGGAGCGUAGGCGGCCUUGUAAGUCAGUGGUGAAAUCUCGCAGCUUAACUGCGAAACUGCCAUUGAUACUGCAGGGCUUGAGUACAGAUGCUGUGGGCGGAAUAUGACAUGUAGUGGUGAAAUACAUAGAGAUGUCAUAGAACACCGAUUGCGAAGGCAGCUCACAAA